UGGGGAAUUUUGGACAAUGGGCGCAAGCCUGAUCCAGCCAUGCCGCGUGCAGGAUGAAGGCCUUCGGGUUGUAAACUGCUUUUGUACGGAACGAAAAGGUGCCUUCUAAUAAAGGGCGCUCAUGACGGUACCGUAAGAAUAAGCACCGGCUAACUACGUGCCAGCAGCCGCGGUAAUACGUAGGGUGCGAGCGUUAAUCGGAAUUACUGGGCGUAAAGCGUGCGCAGGCGGUUUUGUAAGACAGAGGUGAAAUCCCCGGGCUCAACCUGGGAACUGCCUUUGUGACUGCAAGGCUGGAGUGCGGCAGAGGGAGAUGGAAUUCCGCGUGUAGCAGUGAAAUGCGUAGAUAUGCGGAGGAACACCGAUGGCGAAGGCAAUCCCCUGGGCCUGCACUGACGCUCAUGCACGAAAGCGUGGGGAGCAAACA
rnacentral:rRNA from 1 species